rnacentral:tmRNA from 1 species
GGGGAUGUAAUUGGUAUCGACAGUUAUUGGCAUAUUUUUGAUGCAGUGGUCUUGUAAACCAUAAAUACUUUCUAGGCUUUUAAAUGCAAACUUAGAAAAAAAAGAAAAAGAAUUCUUCAUGACAAAUGUUAUGAUGAAUCAAUUAAACCCAGCUUUUGCUUAAUUAAAAACUGGUCGAAUUUCUAUAGUGGCCCAUUAUAGAAAAUUUGCAACUAGGGCUUUGACUUAGCGAAGUGCAGUUGUUAACUAAGUGACAUUUUAAAACUGAAACUCAUUAAGAUUUUUGUUAGUUUUAAAUUAAUUGAGUUUUUUAAAAAAACUAAAUAAACUGUAGAUUCAAAAAUAUAAAAAUAGCUGGACCGGGGUUCGAAUCCCCGCAUCUCCACCA